CCAUGAUCUAGGAAAUGAAGGAGUUUCAUUGUGCUUGGGCUCUCAGGGGCUGAGGGGGAUUCAUACAUUUUAAGACAAGAAGGGACUGGUACAUUAGUUUGACCUAGAGAGCACAGGCCACAGACCCUGACCCAGGACUUCAUUACACUCAUCACUCAUGUGUCAGCUACAGCAAAUCUUUUAGAAAGAUGACCAGUCUGCACUGAAAGACUCCAUGUGAUGGAGAAUCUGUCACGUGCCCUGGAAUUAUGCUGUUCAGUUGGUGCUUAUCUGGACCUCUCAGUUCAGGCUUUUCCAGACAUUAGCCAAUGAAACUAUCCAACACGCCUGGGAGACAAGUCAGUCUCAUUCUCAUUGUAUAGCUCUUGGAAUGAAAGAUGGAUUCCCUGCACUUUCUACCUUCUAACCCAAAUAUUUAAGGGCAAAUUGUCACUCUGACUGCACAAAAGCAGUGCUCAUUAAAGUAAAAAGGAGCAACAUCUGUACAUCUGGGGGCAGUAUUUGGCCCUAUGAACAUUAGGCCUGGAUGUGAAUUCCACAGCUUAGGUCUCUCCAUCCUUUGACUGUGUACACGGUUCUCCAUCCUUUGCUGCUGGCUCCUUUUGGGACCAGUCCUUUCCCUCUACAGAGGCAGAAGUAGGAGGUUGGGGCAGCAGUGAAAGCUCUGUUCAGGACAAGAUUAGGAAGAUCAAAAGAAGUUGGAGAUCCCAAGAGCAGGGCUGCCUGUACCAGGAGAGCUCCGUCUAGCAGAAGACAAAAACAGACUAUCUUGCGAAAGGCACAGGAACUAGUUCUAACUAGUGUAAGAGGGCAGGAUGCGGAGCAGCUGUAAACAACUUUCACCUCCCAGUGACCCUGCACAUCAGUUUAGCCCAUGUACAAAAUCUCACCAGAAUUUAUUAACCCCUUGUUUACUAGUUUAAUACCGAACAAUGAAAAACAUAUGUCUAAAACCACAAGUCAAAGUGUUUACAAAUCUGCUGAGUCUUGCAAUAUGGGAUAUAUUCCUUAAAGUCUUAAGAGUCCUGUGAUCACAUAAACAUCUUGACUUCCAUUAAAAAGAAAAUUUCGAGUCUGU